GGGCUCACACAAGCGGUGGAGGAUGUGGCUUAAUUCGAGGCUACGCGAAGAACCUUAUCCUAGAUUUGACAUGCUUGAGAGUCUCUAUGAAAGUAGAGAGUGCCCUUCGGGGAGCUCUUGCACAGGUGCUGCAUGGCUGUCGUCAGCUCGUGUCGUGAGAUGUCGGGUUACGUCCCUUAACGAGCGAAACCCUUAUCUCUAGUUGCCAGCGGGUAAUGCCGGGGACUCUAGAGAGACUGCCGGUGUCAAACCGGAGGAAGGUGGGGAUGACGUCAAGUCCUCAUGGCCUUUAUAUCCAGGGCUACACACGUGUUACAAUGGGGGUCACAAAGGGCAGCGAAACGGUGACGUGGAGCGAAUCCCAAAAAAGCCCUCUCAGUUCGGAUCGCAGUCUGCAACUCGACUGCGUGAAGCUGGAAUCGCUAGUAA
rnacentral:rRNA from 1 species